UACGAAGGGUGCAAGCGUUAAUCGGAAUUACUGGGCGUAAAGGGUGCGUAGGCGGUUGUUUAAGGCUGUCGUGAAAUCCCCGGGCUCAACCUGGGAAUGGCGAUGGAUACUGGGCAGCUAGAGUGUGUCAGAGGAUGGUGGAAUUCCCGGUGUAGCGGUGAAAUGCGUAGAGAUCGGGAGGAACAUCAGUGGCGAAGGCGGCCAUCUGGGACAACACUGACGCUGAAGCACGAAAGCGUGGGGAGCAAACAGG
rnacentral:rRNA from 1 species